rnacentral:rRNA from 1 species
GGGAAACCGAGUCUUAACUGGGCGUUAAGUUGCAGGGUAUAGACCCGAAACCCGGUGAUCUAGCCAUGGGCAGGUUGAAGGUUGGGUAACACUAACUGGAGGACCGAACCGACUAAUGUUGAAAAAUUAGCGGAUGACUUGUGGCUGGGGGUGAAAGGCCAAUCAAACCGGGAGAUAGCUGGUUCUCCCCGAAAGCUAUUUAGGUAGCGCCUCGUGAAUUCAUCUCCGGGGGUAGAGCACUGUUUCGGCAAGGGGGUCAUCCCGACUUACCAACCCGAUGCAAACUGCGAAUACCGGAGAAUGUUAUCACGGGAGACACACGGCGGGUGCUAACGUCCGUCGUGAAGAGGGAAACAACCCAGACCGCCAGCUAAGGUCCCAAAGUCAUGGUUAAGUGGGAAACGAUGUGGGAAGGCCCAGACAGCCAGGAUGUUGGCUUAGAAGCAGCCAUCAUUUAAAGAAAGCGUAAUAGCUCACUGGUCGAGUCGGCCUGCGCGGAAGAUGUAACGGGGCUAAACCAUGCAC